rnacentral:ncRNA from 24 species
GUUUAUGAUGAUUUAAUUUUAUCACGACGGUCAACUGUGUUCUUCUACUUGUUUAUUGAAGAACGUUGAUGAUAUUUGCCUGUGACAGGGCAUUGAUCUGAUC